rnacentral:tRNA from 1 species
GCCUUCGUGGUGUAGUGGUCAGCACGCUCGACGUGUAACUGAGAGGUCCGUGGUUCGUUUCCCGGGGAAAGCG